CCUGCCAUACGCGAGCAAAACCCCUAGGGGAGACCCCCGCAGCUCCUGUCCCGAUCCUCUUCGUUGUAGCAGGCGCUGUUGGGCGAAAACGGAUCUCGCCGUCGAGCUCGCAGUUCGCCGUCGUUCGCCGGAUGAUUUCGUCGCCGUUAGCGCAACAGAGGGAGAGCAACAAGCCGUCCCGCCUUCACCGGAGCAGCCACUUUCGAGUCGUUGCCGUCGCCAACAGAGGUCGCCUCGCCAUGGUUGAGCACCAUCACCACCUCCGCCGCUCACCGCCGCACCCAUCCGUCGCUUCACCUUCGCCGGAGACCCGCCGGAGAAGCUCAGCCGCCGCCGCCCGAGACCGCCGCCGCCGUUUCCUCUGCCCGAUUGUCUGGAGUGCGUUGCGAGCUAUUGUCAGGAGUGUGACCUUUUGAACCAGAACUAAG